AUUGAACGCUGGCGGCAUGCUUUACACAUGCAAGUCGAACGGUAACAGGCCGCAAGGUGCUGACGAGUGGCGAACGGGUGAGUAAUGCAUCGGAACGUGCCCAGUCGUGGGGGAUAACGCAGCGAAAGCUGCGCUAAUACCGCAUACGAUCUAUGGAUGAAAGCGGGGGACCGUAAGGCCUCGCGCGAUUGGAGCGGCCGAUGUCAGAUUAGGUAGUUGGGGGGGGAAAGGCUCACCAAGCCAACGAUCGGUAGCUGGUCCGGUAGGACGACCAGCAACACUGGGACUGAGACACGGCCCAGACUCCUACGGGAGGCAGCAGUGGGGAAUUUUGGACAAUGGGCGCAAGCCUGAUCCAGCAAUGCCGCGUGCAGGAAGAAGGCCUUCGGGUUGUAAACUGCUUUUGUACGGAACGAAAAGGCUCUGGAUAAUACCUGGGGCUCAUGACGGUACCGUAAGAAUAAGCACCGGCUAACUACGUGCCAGCAGCCGCCGUAACAC
rnacentral:rRNA from 1 species